rnacentral:rRNA from 1 species
UGCAAGUCGAACGCGCAGCGAAAGGUGCUUGCACCUUUCAAGCGAGUGGCGAACGGGUGAGUAACACGUGGAUAACCUGCCUCAAGGCUGGGGAUAACAUUUGGAAACAGAUGCUAAUACCGAAUAAAACUUAGUAUCGCAUGAUACAAAGUUGAAAGGCGCUACGGCGUCACCUAGAGAUGGGUCCGCGGUGCAUUAGUUAGUUGGUGGGGUAAAGGCCUACCAAGACAAUGAUGCAUAGCCGAGUUGAGAGACUGAUCGGCCACAUUGGGACUGAGACACGGCCCAAACUCCUACGGGAGGCUGCAGUAGGGAAUCUUCCACAAUGGGCGAAAGCCUGAUGGAGCAACGCCGCGUGUGUGAUGAAGGCUUUAGGGUCGUAAAGCACUGUUGUAUGGGAAGAAAUGCUAGAAUAGGGAAUGAUUCUAGUUCGACGGUACCUUACCAGAAAGGGACGGCUAAAUAC